GUAUUUAAUCACAGGACCAGACGGAAGGUCGAAAGAACAGGGAGGCCAUGUUGGAUUUUCAGAUAGUGUAUACGGGCUGACGCACCGCACAGGUAUUUAAUCCCAGGACUAGACGGAAGGUCGAAAUAACAGGGAAGCCAUGUUGGAUUUAUAGGGCCUAACGUUGUGUCUUAUAGAAGAAUCCAAGAGGUACUUCCGAACUCAGACUCUCCAUAGAUUUAUAUGACAACACUCACAGUGACUCUGUAGAUGGUCAGUUUUACAGAGGUCACACAGCAGCAACACAAUGAAGUCAGCAGAAGCUGUAUCGUCUCCUCCAAUCAAUCCACUGCUUGAUGAGCCGCGCGUCACCGCCACCAUAAACACUGAGUAUAGAAAACUAUACAGUGUUAGCUGUCUGAGUGAAGAUCAAGUCUGGACAUGUGGAAAUAACAAUAUAAUGAAGCUCCUCAACCACCAGGGUAAUCUACAGACAACAAUGCAAACCGACUCAGAGAACGAACCAUGGGGCAUUGCAGUGACACGAGACGGAGAACUUGUUUAUACUGACACUAUUGAUAAAACUGUAAACCUAGUGAAGAAUGAACAGAUAGAGACUGUGAUUACACUACAGGGGUGGCAACCUCUCAAUGUCUGCAGUACGGUAUCUGAUGAUCUCCUGGUUACAAUGAUCAGUGAUGAUGGCAAAGAAUCCAAAGUUGUGCGUUACUCUGACUCCACAGAGAUACAAACUAUUCAGUUUGAUGAUCAGGGUCGUCCUCUCUAUUUAUCUGAUGGUUUAAGCUAUAAAUACAUCACUGAGAACAAGAACCUGGAUAUAUGUGUGGCUGACCGUAAAGGUAAUGCAGUAGUGGUGGUCAAUCAAUCAGGAAAACUCCGAUUUAGAUAUACUGGUCAUCCCUCUAAUAGCGAGGAAUCAUUUACUCCAUUGGGCAUCACUACAGACAGCCAGAGCCACAUCUUGAUAGCAGACCAUGGCAAUCAGCGUAUCCACAUCCUAGAUCAAGACGGACAGUUCCUCCGUUACAUUCACUGUGAUUUAGAAUGUCCAUACGGUUUAUGUGUGGACAUCAGAGACAACCUCUUUGUGGCCGAGUUGCUCACUGCUAAAGUGAAGAAAAUUCAAUAUCUAUAAACAGUGUUAAGAACUCAAAUCAAAACAGAGUUAAUUGCGUAUCUUUAGAGUUCUUAUUUACAGCCGUGUUUUAAUUACAGUUGCUUUGUUAAUUACAGUUCCUUGUUAAUUACAACUCUAUGUUAUAUUGGAAUUAACAUGUCCGUCUGUCUGUAGACACCAUUUUGUCCAUGCAUGUUUUAAAAAAAACUAGUGUAGAGAUUUUUCUGAAAAUUUCUCUACUCAUUACUCACCAUAUGAAUAUGUGCACUUCAUAUUUUCAUAUUGAUUGGACAAUUUUCUUCAAAGAAAGGUGAAGAUGACAGCAUCCCCUGUCGAAAAGUCACACCCUACUUGAGCCACAUAUCUUCAUCAGAGUACUUGUGCGUGGAAUCAGAGUGGUGUUUAGCAACUAUAUCAAAACCACCAGUGAUGACAUGUUCAGCUGGACUAUAACUGAAAGAAGACGAAGAACAAGAACACGUAGGAGGAAUAAGUAUAUGGUGAUCCAAUAUCAAGGCACAGCAAAGUAUAUCGGAAGUCCAUAAAACGACUGUAAAGUCCACAUGAGUGUGCAGGGACCCCACUAAAAGUUUUGAUGAAAAAUACUACGUUUUCGGACAACUUCCAGUUUCUAAGAACCAACUUCCGAUUCAAAUGUAGAGGCAGCUACAACCAACUUGGAGGACAUGGAGAACCAAAAUGCACCGCUUCAAAGCUGCUACAAAGCUGCAGACGACCUGUAUAUAUUUGAAUGGAACGAAAGCUACAAAGUUCCGGGCAAUUUCAAACGGCAUUUACACAAUGUUCCCAAUCGGGGUUCUCCUCAAAAGCACAGAAGUAUCAAUAUUAUACCUGCUCUACCAGUUCAAAAAUGUUGUUACAUAAACAAGAGCUGCCUUCAUGAAGUUUUUCACAAUGCUUAUAGGAGGGGUGAUGGAGACAGUUACUGUUUCAGAGUUAUCUCUCUUUUGAUUUUGUUAAUUUUUGUUUUCCUGUCUUUUUUAAGUGGGGUAAUCAACUAUGAGCACACACAGAUGAUAUUUAUCAAUAAAACAAAAUGUAUUGUAAUAAUUUUAACUGUAUUAAUUCAUUAGCGAAUUAACAUAAAAUAUCAAACUUACGUAGCUUGUGUUGGUUAAAAAUAUGGUAAAUGAUUGUUUAAGGGAGAGGCAAAUUAAUUUGAAUUUUGUAUCAUUUGAUUACCUAUUUGUGAUUUUGUACUUUCAAGAUUUAAAAAAAAAAAUUAUUUA